rnacentral:rRNA from 1 species
UACAGAGGGUGCGAGCGUUGUCCGGAAUCACUGGGCGUAAAGGGCGCGUAGGCGGCCCGGUAAGGUUGCGGUGAAAGCCCGGGGCUCAACCCCGGGUCGGCCGUGGCAACUGCUGGGCUGGAGCACAGUAGAGGCGGGUGGAAUUCCGGGUGUAGCGGUGGAAUGCGUAGAGAUCCGGAAGAACACCGGUGGCGAAGGCGACUUACUGGACCACUUCUGACGCUGAGACACGAAAGCGUGGGUAGCAAACAGG